rnacentral:rRNA from 1 species
GCUAACGUCGGUACGGCAGCGGCUGUAAGACGGAGGAGGCAAGCGUUAUCCGGAGUGAGUGGGUUUAAAGGGAGCGUAGGCGGACUUAUACGUCAGUGGUGAAAUCUCUGGGCUUAACCCAGAAACUGCCAUUGAUACUGUAAGUCUUGAGUACAGUUGCCGUUGGCGGAAUAUGACAUGUAGUGGUGAAAUACUUAGAUAUGUCAUAGAACACCGAUUGCGAAGGCAGCUAACGAAGCUGUAACUGACGCUGAGGCUCGAAAGUGCGGGGAUCAAACAGGAUUAGAUACCCGUGUAGUC